rnacentral:rRNA from 1 species
CAGCAGUUAGGAAUCUUCCGCAAUGGACGGAAGUCUGACGGAGCGACGCCGCUUGGAGGAGGAAGCCCUUCGGGGUGUAAACUCCUGAACUGGGGACGAAAGCCCUGUGUAGGGGGAUGACGGUACCCAGGUAAUAGCGCCGGCCAACUCCGUGCCAGCAGCCGCGGUAAUACGGAGGGCGCGAGCGUUACCCGGAUUUACUGGGCGUAAAGGGCGUGUAGGCGGCCUGGGGCGUCCCAUGUGAAAGGCCACGGCUCAACCGUGGAGGAGCGUGGGAUACGCUCAGGCUAGAGGGUGGGAGAGGGUGGUGGAAUUCCCGGAGUAGCGGUGAAAUGCGCAGAUACCGGGAGGAACGCCGAUGGCGAAGGCAGCCACCUGGUCCACUUCUGACGCUGAGGCGCGAAAGCGUGGGGAGCAAACCGGAUUAGA